rnacentral:rRNA from 1 species
UGGCGGCGCGCUUAAACAUGCAAGUCGCACGAGAAAGUGGAGCAAUCCAUGAGUACAGUGGCGUACGGGUGAGUAACACGUGGAUCAUCUACCUCUUGGUGGGGAAUAACCCUGGGAAACCGGGGCUAAUACCGCAUAAGCCUGCAAAGGGAAAGCAGCAAUGCGCCGAGAGAGGAGUCCGCGGCCGAUUAGCUGGUUGGUAGGGUAAUGGCCUACCAAGGCAAUGAUCGGUAGCCGGCCUGAGAGGGCACACGGCCACACUGGCACUGAAACACGGGCCAGACUCCUACGGGAGGCAGCAGUGGGGAAUCUUGCACAAUGGGGGAAACCCUGAUGCAGCGACGCCGCGUGAGCGAUGAAGCCCUUCGGGGUGUAAAGCUCUUUCGGCAGGAACGAUAAUGACGGUACCUGCAGAAGAAGCUGCGGCUAACUACGUGCCAGCAGCCGCGGUAAUACGUAGGCAGCAAGCGUUGUUCGGAAUUACUGGGCGUAAAGAGUGUGUANGCGGUUCUCUAAGUUCCGUGUGAAAUCUCCCGGCUUAACUGGGAGGGUGCGCGGGAAACUGGAGGGCUG